CCGGGGACAGCCCCGCUGCGGCCGUGUGGAGGUGUGAGGGAAGAGGAUGCGCUACGAUAACGGGGGCAGAAUUCAAGCCUGGAUUCUGCAGAGAGCUGCAAUCCCUCUUACAGAAAGUUAUAGACUACAACUAAAGACAUGUUAUGGCUUGAGGUGAGAAAGCCAUAAAUUUUGCUGCAUCUCAUCAUUUCUUUAAAGAUUUCUCUGCAUACACUAUCCACAAACCUCAGCUAAGAAGCAGUCUUUCAGGUUUCACACCAUGCUACCCUGAAUACCCCUUGGUACCACAUCAGCUUUGAACGUGAACAAGAGUUCCAACUUCUCAUCCUUCAUCAUCAGGAUGGCAUUGAGGAUUUGGUGCAAAGCAGAUCAUCAGGAUUGUCGCAUCCCAUUUCACCUUCCACUAAUGAUGGAAAGUGGUGCAAAAUGCUGACAUUUUAGAGGCUGAUUUUUCAGCCUUCUUUGCAGUAUCUGGACAAGCUGAUUGCUUUUAAAAAUGCCAUCAAGAGAUGACUGCUUAUUAUCCUGAGAUUUUGAUUGUUAACAUAAGUUUGAACUUCAGAAUUCCUCUCACAGACCUGUGUUCUCUCUGCAACGAGGAAGCAAAGGCUUUAGUAUCUUUUCUACUGAGCAACAGUGCAGGAGGAGUCAAACUUCAGCAGCCCUAAAGCAGUUUAUUUUUGUUACAUCCAAUUCUGAUUGAAUAUCCACUGUUUUUGAUACAGCACGUUAUAUCUCAUUUAGCUUUCAAAGCAAUAAUUCCACAUAGCCACAGGCUUACCAGCAUCACUCUGAGAAUGCCUUGAACUCAUGAUGGUUAUUAUAUGCAAAGAUAUUUAAUGAUUAAAUUAUUACACAAAUUGCAGUGAUGCUGGAAGCCAGAUCUCAUUAGUAUGAAUGCAGAACAAAGACAAGACGGAUGCUGCACAGCCACAAUUGAGAUUCUCUACAUAUUUCUACUACUGUGAUACAUAACAUAUAUGAACACAUGGAUAUUCACGAAUACUCUGCAACUUAAUGGAGCUUUAAAGGCUAACAGCAACACAGCUGCUUCAGCACAGCUGGGCAGCCCAAGAAAGUUUUCCAUGGAAAAUGGGUGGUGGAUGACUGCAGAGUGGAAAAUAGGUAAUGA